UGGGAUGUGGCUCAGUGGUAGAGCGCUUGCCUAGCAUGUGUGAGGCACUGGGUUCAAUUCUCAGCACCACAU
rnacentral:tRNA from 1 species